AUGAGGAGGCAGCUGCAGAUAAGAAGUGGAUCCAAGCAAUGGAUGAAGAAAUCCACUCUAUUGAAAAGAAUGACACUUGGGUGCUAACUUCUUUACCACCUGGUAAGAAACUCAUUGGUGUCAAGUAGGUGUACAAGACAAAGUGCAAACCCGAUAAUCAGGUGGACCGUUAUAAAGCCAGACCGGUCAUAAAAGGCUAUAAGCAAAAGUCAUGUAUCGAUUAUUUUGAAGUUUUGCACCAGUGGCACGAA